AUUGAACGCUGGCGGCAUGCCUUACACAUGCAAGUCGAACGGCAGCACGGGAGCUUGCUCCUGGUGGCGAGUGGCGAACGGGUGAGUAAUACAUCGGAACGUACCCUGAAGUGGGGGAUAACGUAGCGAAAGUUACGCUAAUACCGCAUAUUCUGUGAGCAGGAAAGAGGGGGAUCGCAAGACCUCUUGCUUUAGGAGCGGCCGAUGUCGGAUUAGCUAGUUGGUGAGGUAAAGGCUCACCAAGGCGACGAUCCGUAGCGGGUCUGAGAGGAUGAUCCGCCACACUGGGACUGAGACACGGCCCAGACUCCUACGGGAGGCAGCAGUGGGGAAUUUUGGACAAUGGGCGCAAGCCUGAUCCAGCCAUGCCGCGUGAGUGAAGAAGGCCUCGGGUUGGUUAAAG
rnacentral:rRNA from 1 species